rnacentral:rRNA from 1 species
AAGCGUGCGCAGGCGGUUUUGUAAGACUGUCGUGAAAUCCCCGGGCUCAACCUGGGAAUGGCGAUGGUGACUGCAAGGCUAGAGUUUGGCAGAGGGGGGUAGAAUUCCACGUGUAGCAGUGAAAUGCGUAGAUAUGUGGAGGAACACCGAUGGCGAAGGCAGCCCCCUGGGUCAAAACUGACGCUCAUGCACGAAAGCGGUGGGGAGCAAACAGGAUUAGAUACCCUGGU